rnacentral:rRNA from 1 species
AGUGAACGCUGGCGGUAGGCCUAACACAUGCAAGUCGAACGGCAGCACAGUAAGAGCUUGCUCUUACGGGUGGCGAGUGGCGGACGGGUGAGGAAUACAUCGGACUCUACUUUUUCGUGGGGGAUCACGUAGGUAAACUUACGCUAAUACCGCAUACGCCCUACGGUUGAAAGCAGGGGAUCUUCGGACCUUGCGCGAUUGAAUGAGCCGAUGUCGGAUUAGCUAGUUGGCGGGGUAAAGGCCCACCCAGGCGACGAUCCGUAGCUGGUCUGAGAGGAUGAUCAGCCACACUGGAACUGAGACACGGUCCAGACUCCUACGGGAGGCAGCAGUGGGGAAUAUUGGACAAUGGGCGCAAGCAUGAUACAGUGAGACCGAGUGGGUGAAGAAGGCCUUCGGGUUGUAAAGACCUUUUGUUGGGAAAGAAAAGCAGCAGGUUAAUACCACGCUGUUCUGACGGUACCCAAAGAAUAAGCACCGGCUAACUUCGUG